GUGGGGAAUCUUAGACAAUGGGGGAAACCCUGAUCUAGCCAUGCCGCGUGAGCGAUGAAGGCCUUAGGGUUGUAAAGCUCUUUCAGCUGGGAAGAUAAUGACGGUACCAGCAGAAGAAGCCCCGGCUAACUCCGUGCCAGCAGCCGCGGUAAUACGGAGGGGGCUAGCGUUGUUCGGAAUUACUGAGCGUAAAGCGCGCGUAGGCGGACCAGAAAGUUGGAGGUGAAAUCCCAGGGCUCAACCUUGGAACUGCCUUCAAAACUCCUGGUCUGGAGUUCGAGAGAGGUGAGUGGAAUUCCGAGUGUAGAGGUGAAAUUCGUAGAUAUUCGGAGGAACACCAGUGGCGAAGGCGGCUCACUGGCUCGAUACUGACGCUGAGGUGCGAAAGCGUGGGGAGCAAACAGGAUUAGAAACCCUAGUAGUCC
rnacentral:rRNA from 1 species